UACUCCUACGGGAGGCAGCAGUGAGGAAUAUUGGUCAAUGGGCGAGAGCCUGAACCAGCCAAGUAGCGUGCAGGAUGACGGCCCUAUGGGUUGUAAACUGCUUUUAUGUGGGGAUAAAGUGAGCUACGUGUAGUUUAUUGCAGGUACCACAUGAAUAAGGACCGGCUAAUUCCGUGCCAGCAGCCGCGGUAAUACGGAAGGUCCAGGCGUUAUCCGGAUUUAUUGGGUUUAAAGGGAGCGUAGGCCGUGGAUUAAGCGUGUUGUGAAAUGUAGACGCUCAACGUCUGAAUUGCAGCGCGAACUGGUUCACUUGAGUAUGCACAACGUAGGCGGAAUUCGUCGUGUAGCGGUGAAAUGCUUAGAUAUGACGAAGAACUCCGAUUGCGAAGGCAGCUUACGGGAGCACAACUGACGCUGAAGCUCGAAGGUGCGGGUAUCAAACAGGAUUAGAUACCCUGGUAGUCCGCACAGUAAACGAUGGAUGCCCGUUGUUAGUUCACCUAAGAAUUAGCGACCAAGCGAAAGCAUUAAGCAUCCCACCUGGGGAGUACGCCGGCAACGGUGAAACUCAAAGGAAUUGACGGA
rnacentral:rRNA from 1 species